AACGAACGCUGGCGGCAUGCCUAACACAUGCAAGUCGAACGAGACCUUCGGGUCUAGUGGCGCACGGGUGAGUAACGCGUGGGAACCUGCCCUUAGGUUCGGAAUAACUCCCCGAAAGGGGUGCUAAUACCGGAUAAUGUCUUCGGACCAAAGAUUUAUCGCCUUUGGAUGGGCCCGCGUUGGAUUAGCUAGUUGGUAGGGUAAAAGCCUACCAAGGCGACGAUCCAUAGCUGGUCUGAGAGGAUGAUCAGCCACACUGGGACUGAGACACGGCCCAGACUCCUACGGGAGGCAGCAGUGGGGAAUAUUGGACAAUGGGCGAAAGCCUGAUCCAGCAAUGCCGCGUGAAUGAUGAAGGCCUUAGGAUUGUAAAGCUCUUUUACCCGGGAUGAUAAUGACGGUACCGGGAGAAUAAGCUCCGGCUAACUCCGUG
rnacentral:rRNA from 1 species